GCAGAAUAUUCGGCCCUUUUUGGCAAAAGGUAUGGCCAGUUUUGGCGAAGGAGGUCUUAUUGGUUUUUGAGAGGUUGAAGGCUGGCUUGAGAGGAAGCUCUCUGGAGUCGAAACACAAUCUCACCUUCUCUGUUCAUCUCUUCUCGCCUCACAAUCCUCCCGAUCGUCCCUCUGCCCGUCCACCUACGAUCUCUCCUCUGAAAUUCAGCCACCUCCUAAACGCCAUCCGCUCAUAACCAUUUAUGGCUGUCGCUGGCUUCAUCCUCAAAGGAUACCAGACACGCUCUAUCGUAUAGGGCUUUGUAACGGAGACUCUUGGAAGCUCGUGGCAUCUCCUUUGAGCGGGGAGAGCUUCGGCAAGAGGAGGAAGCUUCGGCCAUUGGAGAACCUCUUGCACAAUCGCUGAUCAUCACUCUGUCCACGACUAAGUGGAAGUCGUAGACCCGAUCCCUGGACUUGAAAGAAAGUUGUUCGUCGUCUGUCGAGGACUGCACGGUGACUAGGACCCAUCCCCGAACCCAUCUCUUGGUCGCCGGAAAAGCAAAACCUCGUCAGAAUGCUCCCCCUCGCCGGCGAGUCCUGCGGUUUAAGGCCGUUCUAGUUAGCAUUUCUUCCCAUUUUAAUGCAUUCGUGACUGCUUGUUUGCUGGAAAUCUCGAAUCGAAAAUGUUAGCUUCGGUA